UCUAUUUUGCAAACCACCACUUGCCUAUUCCCACCCCAGUAUCUGUUCCAUCUCUCACUCGUGCGAAGUGAAUGAAUCAUUUUCGUAUAGAUCUAUUUUGUAGCUCUUAUUGGAACUAGCCUUCUUUGUUGAAUUGUACUGUUCUUAGAUGGUGAAGCUUCGGUUUUUUCUUCUGUAGUAGUUUCAUCAUGCUAUUACCUUUUUGCCUAUAAUAAACGAAGCUUUAUUGUUCAAUGUUUUGUGAUGCAAGUGGAAUGGAAUGAUGAAUUUCAUCUGAUAGAUUUGAAAAUUAAUUUGUUGAUUGUUACUUCUAUUUCAAGAUGAAUUCUCAGCCAAAGGUUAUUAAAGGUUUGAUUCUCACAGAGGAUUGAUUUUGAAGGCUUAAUUAGAACUUCUAUUCUAAUUAACAGUUCUUUUUAACUUCUAUUUAUACAUUACAAGCGAGAAAAUGCUUGUUUAUUUUGAAACUUCAACUAAUUCGUGCUUUCUCUGCUGGAUUUACAACUUGGGUUGGUCAAAUCUAUUUCGAUCUCUUUAACAAGGGCCUGUUUAGACAUCUCUCGAAAGAAAUUAGGAUUUGUUUGGAUUUUUUCAGAGGAAUCAAUGAUACAAAUUCACCUUAUCAUUUGGAUUGGGUCACAAAACAGGAAACACAUUGGGAAGGCUCCUGUUUUCUUGAUUUUUCUGCUCCAGAGCAGUUGCUUGCCUCUAGACAUGCUAUUGCUAUUAAAACCAUUAUCCUAUGCAGACAACAUAUGGCUUGGACUCAUGCAUCAUGGGAGAAGUUUGUUAUAUCAUCCCUAAGUGUGGGAAGUGUGGGAAUUAUUUAAACUGCUCCAAUUUUAUCUUUGUUAACUAUAGUUUGUGUUGCAGGUUGUGGAAUGUGAGUUGUUGGUGGUCCCUGCAAGCGAAUUACCAUACGAGGGACAUGACUCAGUUAAGAUGGAAGGACAAUCCAGCAAUACAAGAUUCGUGAAUUCCAAAUGCUUUCAGACAACCGAACAAGCUGUAGUUGUUCAUCAGCCAAGCAAAAGUCAUACCCAAAUCUUGCGUUGUGACUUUGUAUUAUUUGUGGAACCUAAUGUUGUGCAAUAGUUUGAUUGAGUUCGUUUUGAAAACUUUAAAUAGUAAACAAGUGAGAUUGAUUGUUUGAUUGAGUUGUUAACUAUUUUAUUGGUAUUAUGGCUUUCA